GACGAACGUUGGCGGCGUGCUUAACACAUGCAAGUCGAACGGAAAGGCCCUGCUUUUGUGGGGUGCUCGAGUGGCGAACGGGUGAGUAACACGUGAGUAACCUGCCCUUGACUUUGGGAUAACUUCAGGAAACUGGGGCCAAUACCGGAUAGGAGCUCCUGCUGCAUGGUGGGGGUUGGAAAGUUUCGGCGGUUGGGGAUGGACUCGCGGCUUAUCAGCUUGUUGGUGGGGUAGUGGCUUACCAAGGCUUUGACGGGUAGCCGGCCUGAGAGGGUGACCGGCCACAUUGGGACUGAGAUACGGCCCAGACUCCUACGGGAGGCAGCAGUGGGGAAUAUUGCACAAUGGGCGGAAGCCUGAUGCAGCAACGCCGCGUGCGGGAUGACGGCCUUCGGGUUGUAAACCGCUUUCGCCUGUGACGAAGCGUGAGUGACGGUAAUGGGUAAAGAAGCACCGGCUAACUACGUGCCAGCAGCCGCGGUGAUACGUAGGGUGCGAGCGUUGUCCGGAUUUAUUGGGCGUAAAGGGCUCGUAGGUGGUUGAUCGCGUCGGAAGUGUAAUCUUGGGGCUUAACCCUGAGCGUGCUUUCGAUACGGGUUGACUUGAGGAAGGUAGGGGAGAAUGGAAUUCCUGGUGGAGCGGUGGAAUGCGCAGAUAUCAGGAGGAACACCAGUGGCGAAGGCGGUUCUCUGGGCCUUUCCUGACGCUGAGGAGCGAAAGCGUGGGGAGCGAACAGGCUUAGAUACCCUGGUAGUCCACGCUGUAAACGGUGGGUACUAGGUGUGGGGUCCAUUCCACGGGUUCCGUGCCGUAGCUAACGCUUUAAGUACCCCGCCUGGGGAGUACGGCCGCAAGGCUAAAACUCAAAGGAAUUGACGGGGCCCCGCACAAGCGGCGGAGCAUGCGGAUUAAUUCGAUGCAACGCGUAGAACCUUACCUGGGUUUGACAUGGAUCGGGAGUGCUCAGAGAUGGGUGUGCCUCUUUUGGGGUCGGUUCACAGGUGGUGCAUGCCUGUCGUCAGCUCGUGUCGUGAGAUGUUGGGUUAAGUCCCGCAACGAGCGCAACCCUUGUUCACUGUUGCCAGCACGUUAUGGUGGGGACUCAGUGGAGACCGCCGGGGUCAACUCGGAGGAAGGUGGGGGUGACGUCAAGUCAUCAUGCCCCUUAUGUCCAGGGCUUCACGCAUGCUACAAUGGCUGGUACAGAGAGUGGCGAGCCUGUGAGGGUGAGCGAAUCUCGGAAAGCCGGUCUCAGUUCGGAUUGGGGUCUGCAACUCGACCUCAUGAAGUCGGAGUCGCUAGUAAUCGCAGAUCAGCAACGCUGCGGUGAAUACGUUCCCGGGGCU
rnacentral:rRNA from 1 species